rnacentral:misc_RNA from 1 species
UUAAGUUCAGCGGGUAGUCCUACCUGAUUUGAGGUCAAACAAGUCAUUAAGAGUCCUUUACGGACGGUUAGAGAGCAGACACCUCGGAGACAUAAGCCUUUGACGACGAUACUAUCACGCCAAAAAGUGAAUGAAUCCUGCAAGCGGUUUCCACUAAUGCAUUUAAGGAGAGCCGACCUCUUGCGAAGCCCGCAACCCCC